rnacentral:rRNA from 1 species
GACGAACGCUGGCGGCGUGCCUAAUACAUGCAAGUAGAACGCACAGUUUAUACCGUAGCUUGCUACACAAUAGACUGUGAGUUGCGAACGGGUGAGUAACGCGUAGGUAACCUGCCUGGUAGCGGGGGAUAACUAUUGGAAACGAUAGCUAAUACCGCAUAAUAUUGAUUAUUGCAUGAUAAUUGAUUGAAAGAUGCUAUUGCAUCACUACCAGAUGGACCUGCGUUGUAUUAGCUAGUAGGUGAGGUAACGGCUCACCUAGGCGACGAUACAUAGCCGACCUGAGAGGGUGAUCGGCCACACUGGGACUGAGACACGGCCCAGACUCCUACGGGAGGCAGCAGUAGGGAAUCUUCGGCAAUAGACGAAAGUCUGACCGAGCAACGCCGCGUGAGUGAAGAAGGUUUUCGGAUCGUAAAGCUCUGUUGUAAGAGAAGAACGGGUGUGAGAGUGGAAAGUUCACACUGUGACGGUAUCUUACCAGAAAGGGACGGCUAACUACGUG